GACGAACGCUGGCGGCGUGCUUAACACAUGCAAGUCGAACGGAAAGGCCCUGCUUUUGUGGGGUGCUCGAGUGGCGAACGGGUGAGUAACACGUGAGUAACCUGCCCUUGACUUUGGGAUAACUUCAGGAAACUGGGGCUAAUACCGGAUAGGAGCUCCUGCUGCAUGGUGGGGGUUGGAAAGUUUCGGCGGUUGGGGAUGGACUCGCGGCUUAUCAGCUUGUUGGUUGGGUAGUGGCUUACCAAGGCCUUGACGGGUAGCCGGCCUGGGAGGGUGACCGGCCACAUUGGGACUGAGAUACGGCCCAGACUCGUACGGGAGGCAGCAGUGGGGAAUAUUGCACAAUGGGCGGGAGCCUGAUGCAGCAACGCCGCGUGCGGGAUGACGGCCUGCGGGUUGUAAACCGCUUUCGCCUGUGACGAGGCGUGAGUGACGGUAAUGGGUGAAGAAGCACCGGCUAACUACGUG
rnacentral:rRNA from 1 species